UACGGAGGGUGCAAGCGUUGUUCGGAAUCAUUGGGCGUAAAGCGCACGUAGGCGGCUGUUCAAGUCUGAUGUGAAAGCCCGGGGCUCAACCCCGGAAUGCCAUUGGAAACUGUUCAGCUUGAGAGUGAGAGGGGUCAGUGGAAUUACUGGUGUAGGAGUGAAAUCCGUAGAGAUCAGUAGGAACACCGGCGGCGAAGGCGACUGACUGGAUCACGUCUGACGCUGAUGUGCGAAAGCGUAGGGAGCAAAC
rnacentral:rRNA from 1 species